AGCGAACGCUGGCGGCAGGCUUAACACAUGCAAGUCGAGCGCCCCGCAAGGGGAGCGGCAGACGGGAGAGUACCACGUGGGAACAUACCUUUUGGUUCGGAACAACUGAGGGAAACUUCAGCUAAUACCGGAUAAGCCCUUACGGGGAAAGAUUUAUCGCCGAAAGAUUGGCCCGCGUCUGAUUAGCUAGUUGGUGAGGUAACGGCUCACCAAGGCGACGAUCAGUAGCUGGUCUGAGAGGAUGAUCAGCCUCACUGGGACUGGGACACGGCCCAGACUCCUACGGGAGGCAGCAGUGGGGAAUAUUGGACAAUGGGGGCAACCCUGAUCCAGCCAUGCCGCGUGAGUGAUGAAGGCCUUAGGGUUGUAAAGCUCUUUUGCCCGGGAAGAUAAUGACGGUACCGGGAGAAUAAGCCCCGGCUAACUUCGUG
rnacentral:rRNA from 1 species